rnacentral:rRNA from 1 species
UACAGAGGUCUCAAGCGUUGUUCGGAUUCAUUGGGCGUAAAGGGUGCGUAGGCGGCGCGGUAAGUCGGGUGUGAAAUUUCGAGGCUUAACUUCGAAACUGCAUUCGAUACUGCCGUGCUUGAGGACUGGAGAGGAGACUGGAAUUUACGGUGUAGCGGUGAAAUGCGUAGAUAUCGUAAGGAAGACCAGUGGCGAAGGCGGGUCUCUGGACAACACCUGACACUGAGGCACGAAAGCUAGGGGAGCAAACAGG